GUGGAGUGAAGUUGAGGUCUGGGAGAUCCAUUUUCUCCUGAAGAUAUGAAUAUGUAAGAUGAAGUAGAAGUACAAGUAGAAGCACAAGGUGGCCAAAUACACACGAGUCUAAACAAGACAUGGGUCUGCUUUCCUCUUAAGCAGAUAUGAUCAUCAAGCU